rnacentral:rRNA from 1 species
AUGCUGUUGGUCCAUAAGAGAGAUGUUCGUAGGAAAGACAAGCUUGUGAUCCGGUAUGGUUCACUGUUAUUCCAGGAUCAGAAGAGGAUAGCGAAUCUAAACUACAUCUACAACUGCAACGACACCGAGUCUCUAUGGAUGCUUCGAAUGCAGAGAACACAUUUCGUCAGGCUCGUGCAUACAUUCAGGAGCAGGGGGCUGCUACAAGAUAGCAUCAACACCACUUUGGAAGAGUAAGUUGUCAUGUUCCUCCAUGUUGUGGGUCAUAACGGGAGGUUCCGGGUGUUCCACAACACGUUCAGGAGAUCAAUGGAGACCAUUUUCAGGUAUUUCAGACAAGUGGUGUAUGUUGUUGGAGAGCUCGGAGGAGACAUGAUCAGGUCACCAGCCGGGCAAACUCCUACCAAGAUUCGCACUAGCCUAGGAUGGUAUCCGUAUUUCAAGGUGAGCACUACUCGUAGUUCAUGCCUUCACAUGGUUGUCAUGCGAUUUUCAGGAUUGCCAUAA